rnacentral:rRNA from 1 species
UGAUCAUGGCUCAGGAUGAACGCUAGCUACAGGCUUAACACAUGCAAGUCGAGGGGCAGCGGGAUUGAAGCUUGCUUCAAUUGCCGGCGACCGGCGCACGGGUGAGUAACGCGUAUCCAACCUUCCGCAUACUCGGGGAUAGCCUUCUGAAAAGGAGAUUAAUACCCGAUGGUAUCAAGAGAUUGCAUGGUAACUUGAUUAAAGAAUUUCGGUAUGCGAUGGGGAUGCGUUCCAUUAGG